UACGUAGGGUGCGAGCGUUAAUCGGAAUUACUGGGCGUAAAGCGUGCGCAGGCGGUUUGCUCAGACCGAUGUGAAAUCCCCGGGCUCAACCUGGGAACUGCAUUGGUGACUGGCAGGCUAGAGUAUGGCAGAGGGGGGUAGAAUUCCACGUGUAGCAGUGAAAUGCGUAGAGAUGUGGAGGAAUACCGAUGGCGAAGGCAGCCCCCUGGGCCAAUACUGACGCUCAUGCACGAAAGCGUGGGGAGCAAACAGG
rnacentral:rRNA from 1 species